UUGUUCUCGUAAAUCCUCUUAUGACCCAAGUAUACAUGAGGCUAUCAUCACUCCCCGGAUCAGGUCCCUUAAGUCCCCACCACUUUUCAAAACAAAGUGACAGCCUUGCCUGUUACACAAAACUAAGAAUUACAAAAAUCCUGACAGUCAACAUCACUAAAUGUACCACUGCACUAUCAGUAGAAACCUUAUAAAGUUGUAAUGUAAAAAAUACAGAAUUAAAAUGGUUACAAAAUAUGACAACUGCUUAAACAAGUAUAUAGUUGCAUCAACAUUUAGUUAACCUGUAAGUUAUAUAAAUUGUUACUUUUUUAAUUAACCCUAUGUUGCCAAGAGUUAGCUAAACCAACGCCAGAUAAGAACACGUUUGUCCGUUCAAUAUGCUGCUACAGCCCAUUAGCUUAGCAUUUAAGUGUGGAAUUAACACGUUAUCACGUUUGUUAAAUCUGUAUAAUAUUUGAACUAAAUUAUGCUAAAGCCGUCUCCUGGCUCAUAGCUUCUUAUUUAAUGGACAGAUUUGAGAGUGGUAGCAGUCUUCUCAGCUAAUUCGGCAGCGAAGCUAACAACCUUAUUUCCCAAAAUGUCGAACUCUUCCUUCAGUAACGUUAGGUUACACAGAGGACACUGUUGCUCCAAAAACUAACACCAGCCCCUGCAGCCAUGUUGGGAUCAACAGCUCCCAAUUCCCUGGGCCAUGCUGUUAACUCUCAUCCUGCUUCCAGGACUGAAUCAUUUUUUGUGAGUAUAACCGACCAAGUAUGAUUAGUUUAUCAAACGCGUGCAUAUGUAUUUCACGAGAGAGAGAGAGAGUCCAAAAAAAAAAAAAAAGUGGUAUGAUUAAUUUACCAGCAUUCCGCAGGGUCAAGGAAAUUGAUGCAGGAUAAUUGGGCACAUAGGGAAUCGUUGGCAAUUUGUGCUUUCAGACUCUACUUGAGAAAUU